GCAUUUUGCUGCUGGGUGGGCUAGGUAACAACAUCACCUGGUUGCAGAACUGCUGGUAUUGUCUGGAGCAGCUGCAACAGAGGGAUCUUUCAAGUAAUGAGGAUGAUGCCCACUUGUGUGUGAGGGUGGAGGGAGCUGUGGAUCUGUCCAGAACCGACAUUUUUCUUCCACUUUUAUUUUCAACAGCUGUGUUUUGCAUCCAUUCCCUGGGACAGGUGGCUAUGAGCUGCAGAUCCAGUGCUUGUUCCCUCUAAAAGGAGAAGAGAAAGGGAUGAACAUCUUGUCUCUCCACUGCAUAUACUGCACUAUGCUCUCUUGCACAAUGGUGGCUUUCAUGGCCAGUCAAAGAUUGGCUGAAUACCUUCAAUGUGAAGGAAACCUCCGGUUCUUGGGAACACAAGUGCCACAUUCUGCUGCUGUAGCUUUCACUAGGGCAGCUGGAGUGGGGAAAAUCCGGUCACAGCCUUUAGAAGAGAAUGGAUUUAAACCUUAUAUCAUCAGCCAAGUGUCAAAUCCAUCCUCACGCUCAUCUAUGCAGCUUGUUUCUUAUGCCAGCUACCUUCUCUUUGUUUCUCCUGCCCUGAGCCUAGGCUCUUGGCAGCCAACCCAUAAAUUAAAACCUACAAUCUACAUUGCAACGUAAAAGAUGGCUUCUCUUAUCUUAACAGUUCAGCAGAUUUCUCCCAUCUGACAUAGGCUGUAAAGAGAGAUCUCAUCUGAGGAAGUCCUGAUUGUCCCAGGUUUCAACUCAGACCAAAACACAAGUCACCUAGCCAUUUACACACAUAGCCCUUCCCAGCUGCAUCAUUUCCCCUUUGACAGACUUGUCCCUGGAAUGAAUGGCAGUAAACUGGAAUGAGUCAUGAUUAACUUAUAGAAGCACACAGCAUUGUCCAGGGGAAAAAUGUGACAUUUUCUCUCUCAUAAUUCACAGGUACUUAAAUUGGCACAACAGACUUUAUGUCUGUAAGAUCCCACAACAAAAGGCUUUCUUCCCAGAGCAAUGUGAUGUCUGUUUAUGUCUAUAGCAUUAAUAAAGUAAAUCCAACCUCCAGCAACCUCUGACCCAAGCCCUGCUUAAAAGACUGGUGAAAAUAUGUAUAGAAUGAAUUAGUUCCAUACA